rnacentral:misc_RNA from 2 species
UGUGGGAGCGAGCCUGCUCGCGAUGGCGUCCGAUCCGUCAACAUUGUCUUUGAAUACAAGGCCCUCAUCGCGAGCAGGCUCGCUCCCACG